GGCUUUUUGAGUUAAUUUAAAGUCUGGCCUGCCCAAUGAGGUUUUUAAUGGCCGCGGUAUAUUGACCGUGCUAAGGUAGCAUAAUCAUUAGUUUUUUAAUUGAAGACUGGAAUGAAAGGUUUGAUGAGAAAGUUACUGUCUCUAAAUAAUUAAAUUGAAUUUUAUUUUUAUGUUAAAAAGCUUAAAUUUUUUUGAAAGACGAUAAGACCCUAUAGAGUUUUAUUAAACUUAUGAUUUUAUAUUUUGGUAAAAAAUUUAUUUGAUUAUAUUUUUAAUUUGGUUGGGGUGAUUAGAAAAUUUUAAACUUUUCUUUUAUUAAACAAUGGUAUAUGAUUUUAUGAUCCACAAAUUGUGAUUUGAAUAUUAAAUUACCUUAGGGAUAACAGCGUAAUUUUUUUUGAGAGUUCUUAUCGAAAGAAAAGAUUGCGACCUCGAUGUUGGAUUAAGAUUAAAUUUUGGUGCAAAAGCUAAAAUAUUAAGUCUGUUCGACUUUUUAAAUCUUACA
rnacentral:rRNA from 1 species